rnacentral:pre_miRNA from 1 species
UAGAUCGCAAUAAUUGACUCUUUGAGUGUUUUGCGAGUAAGUAGAGGCGCAAACAUUUCUUACACUCUAAUAAAUGCCUGCGCGUCUACUUACCCGCAAAGCACUCAAAGGUCCAAUCAUUGCGAUCUA